CCGAAACACGCAUACAGAAUGAUAAUAUUAGACGUGGAGGAAAUGUUUUAGUGGCACGUGUGUAUAUGUAUGUUCCGCACAAACUAGAAAUAGACAGGGGAUCAACGCGAUAGGAAAAUGACGAUAAAUUAUAAGUCUACCAGUAUAGUAUAUUGUUGUAUAAAGUUAAAUUGAGUUGGUAAACCGCGUUAAAAGUACAACAAUAAUAAUUUGCAAUAAAGACAUUGUAUAAUGCGAAGUCGUGUAACUCAC